rnacentral:lncRNA from 1 species
AUGCGUUUUAUUCCAAACACUCGACACUGGAAAACACCUUUUCCUCACUGUAAGGAGUCCAAGGUUCUCAUCAAAAGCAGGCAAAUUCUGCAGAAUGUUUUGCCUUUGAGAGAAGAGCAUUUCUUCAGAAAGCAGAGCCAUAUCAGGAAGGAACGUGCCAGUUGCCUACAUACAUACACAGGAUGGGCGUUCGAUUGUAAUUGCACCUACAGCUACUGAAAAAGUACUUUCCUGAGUUCUCAUCUCUUCAGAAGGCAUUCUCCAAACUGGAAGGUGUGAGGACAGCCUCCGAUGCCCUACAGUCCGAGUGUUCUCCCAGAUUAUCUUUUUGGAAGGACGUAGGUAGAGGAAUGAAAUAACCUCUGUACACAGGAUCUGCAGACACCUUUAUCCAUCCCAGCCUUCCACUGAUGUGUGACUUAAUGCUGUGCACAGGGUCUAAUAAAGAAACUUCUUCAGCCUGAAACCA